UAAGACAAUGGGUUUUAGUAAAAAUUGCAAAUGAGAUAGUAGCUGUACUUGGUACUUAAAAUUUUUUUUGCAACAUUGGUGCCUGAGGAGCGAUGCUCAGGGAAAUCAUCACCCUACAGUUGGGCCAGUGUGGCAAUCAGAUUGGGUUCGAGUUCUGGAAACAGCUGUGCACCGAGCAUGGUAUCAGCUCCAAGGGCAUCAUGGGAGAGUUCACCACUGAGGGCACUGACCACAAGGAUGUCUUUGUCUACCAGGCAGACAAUGAGCACUACAUCACCUGGGCCAUACUGCUGGACCUGGAGCCCUGGGUGAUCCACUCCAUCCUCAACUCCCCCCUAUGCCAAGUUCUGUAACCCAGAGAACAUCUACCUGUCGAAGCAGGGAGGAGGAGCUGGCAAUAACUAGGCCAGCAGAUUUUCCCAGGGAGAGAAGAUCCAUGAGGACAUUUUUGACAUCAUUGACUAGGAGGCAGAUGGUAGUUACAGUCUAGAAGGCUUUGUGCUGUGUCACUCCAUUGCUGGGGAGCAGGCUCUGGCCUGGGUGCCUACCUCUUAGAAUGACUGAAUGGCAGUUAUCCUAAGAAGCUGGUGCAGACAUAGUCAAUGUUUCCCAACCAGGAUGAGAUGAGCGAUGUGGUGGUCCAGCCUUACAUUUCACUCUUCACACUCAAGAGGCUGAUGCAGAACACAGACUGUGUUGUGGUGCUGGAUGACACAGCCCUGAACUGGAUUGCCACAGACCACCUGCACAUCCAGAAUCCAUCCUUCUACCAGAUCAACCAACUGGUGUCCACCAUCAUGUCAACCAGCAGCACCACCCUACACUACCCCGACCACAUGAACAGUGACCUCAUCGGCCUCAUCUUCUUGCUCAUUCCCACUCCAUGGCUCCAAUUCCUCAUGACCAGCUACACCCCACUCACCAAGGACCAGUCAAUGGCCAGCAUGAGGAAGACCACAGUCCUGGAUGUCAUGAGAUGGCUACUGCAGCCCAAGAACAUGAUGGUAUCCACAGGCCAAGACUACCAGACCAACCACUGCUCCAUCACCAUCCUCAGCAUCAUCCACGGACAGGUGGACCCCACGCAGGUCCACAAGAGCCUGCAGAGCAUCCAGGAACCGAAGUUGGCCAACUUCAUCUCAUGGGGCCCUGCCAGCAUCCAGCUGGCCCUGUUGAGGAAGUCUCCCUACCUGCCUUCAGCCACCGGGUCAGCGAGCUCAUGAUGGCCAACCACACCAGCAUCUCCUUGCUCUUCAAGAGAACAUGUCACCAAUAUGACAAGCUGUGGAAGCAGGAGGCCUUCCUGGAGCAGUUCCGCAAGGAGGACAUGUUCCAGGACUUUGAUGAGAUGGACAUGUCCAGGGAGAUUGUGCAGCAGUUCAUUGAUGAGUGCCAUGUGGCCACACGACCAGACUACAUCUGCUGGGGUGCCCAGGAGCAGUGAGUCCCCCAGGACAAGGACCCUCAUCUGCCUUGGUGAUUGGCCCAGGCCCUGCCUGACUGACCACCCCCUCAGAGUAUAGAUCAAGGACCUCACUCAACUCUUUCUCAUACACAUGCACUCUCUGUUGGCCUGUGAACACAUUUACUUCUCCUCUUAUGAGGCUGUUUAUAUUUAAUAAAGCACUGGAUGUAAAU